GUGAGGAAUAUUGGUCAAUGGGCGAGAGCCUGAACCAGCCAAGUCGCGUGAAGGAAGAAGGAUCUAUGGUUCGUAAACUUCUUUUGCAGGGGAAUAAAGUGCGGGACGUGUCCUGUUUUGUAUGUACCCUGAGAAUAAGGAUCGGCUAACUCCGUGCCAGCAGCCGCGGUAAUACGGAGGAUCCGAGCGUUAUCCGGAUUUAUUGGGUUUAAAGGGUGCGUAGGUGGUUUGAUAAGUCAGCGGUGAAAGUUUGCAGCUUAACUGUAAAAAUGCCGUUGAAACUGUCGGACUUGAGUGUAAAUGAGGUAGGCGGAAUGCGUGGUGUAGCGGUGAAAUGCAUAGAUAUCACGCAGAACUCCGAUUGCGAAGGCAGCUUACUAAGCUACAACUGACACUGAAGCACGAAAGCGUGGGGAGCAAACAGGAUUAGAAACCCUUGUAGUCC
rnacentral:rRNA from 1 species